CUGCAGCCAAUUAAGCCGACUGAGUUCCUUUCCUCAUGGGGGCCCAGUGUGCAAUGGCUGUAAAUAGCAGCUUCCUUGGUAGUGUAUGCAGCCUGUUUGUUGUAUGGGUUGCUCUAAGGGACCUUGGAGACAGUC
ensembl:snoRNA SNORA70H small nucleolar RNA, H/ACA box 70H